CUUUUGGAGAGAUGUCCCAUGUGACCAGCUAUGUGAUGCAAUGUAGGUGAAGUUCUGUAGACUACCUAGUAGCAAGUCAGAUUUCACCACCAUUUCAUGAAAAAUAAUGUGUGGUACUCCCAACCUAUUGUACCUUAUCCAUUGCAGGUUACACUGCACUAGAUUAUCUCUGCCUGUAUCAAAGGCAAUCAUCUGGAACUAGCCAGCCAUUUUGUUUUUCCCCCUAAAGUUGAUCAGACUGAGUGAGGACAUUUGCCCCAUUUCAAUGAAGACAUUUCUGAUGGACAAACUGAUGUUUUUACAACAGACAAGAAUAACAUUUCAGCAUUAUGCCCACAACCAAAGCAUGUAUUUCAGUGGUCCAAACUCUACGUUUCCUUACUGUAGCCUAAUUCACAAUCAUGCCUCCGAGUCCGAGAUCAGAUGGCUACGACUGUGUGAAUUCUCUGCUUUGCCUAAUGUUCAGAGUUUUAAUCAUCUGCAACCGCAUGCCUGGAGUGGUGUGUUAGCAACGCGCUUGAAAAAUCACCGCCUCAGGCAAAGUAAAGUGGUUUGGUAAGUUGGUUUUAUACUCUAUUCUAGCCUACAGAUCAAAUAUCUAGAUUUUGUUUUAUUCUUGUGAAGAUAAUAUUUGAUGUAAAACUCACAUAUUAUGCAAAGCAUAGCCUAUGCAUGUCUUUCUGAAUGAUUUUCUACAAUAUCUUAUAGGAAACAGAGAAGGUAGGAUAUACUGCUUAUCAAAGCCUGACAGUAGCCUAUUAGUCAAGAGACCAAAACAUGUUAUCAAGCCUAUAUCUCUCUAUAUAUAUUCGCAAUUCAUUUGCAUAAUUUGUAGUUAUUUUAUUAUAUCCUGCUCAUUUGGUGUGUGACUAAAAGGGGAAUAAUGUGUUUGCCCUACAAUCAAAUAGACUACUGUGUGAUUUACAGGACAUUACAGAAAUCACAAGUCCUUGUAUUCUUGCUGUCUACUGGAAUACUGUUCAACACAUGGCAUACACGCACACCUAUUCACUUUGCGCGUACACACACGCACACGUACACAAACACACUGUAACAGGUUGAGGUUUCCACUCUAUGAAUGUAGAAGGAAUGUAAAGGAGAAGACUACUCAAUAAAACAACCUUCCAUAAGAAAUACAGUAUCCUCUUUUCCAUGUAUCUCCAACCUCUUUUUUUAAUACUGUACAAUUCCAUAGUCUGAUCAUCACAGGUAAUACUAUACCUGUGACAGUAGGAGAUUAGUAGGAGAUUGUAUAAUACUCACUCACUCGCUCCCA
rnacentral:lncRNA from 1 species